rnacentral:tRNA from 1 species
GGGUGAUUAGCUCAGCUGGGAGAGCAACUCCCUUACAAGGAGGGGGUCGGCGGUUCGAUCCCGUCAUCACCCACCA